AAAAGAAAAAAAAGGAAAUGGAAACAGCAAGCUCGUCUCCAUCGUCUUCCUCCCUCGCUCUCUCUCAAACUCUCUCAGGCGAACCUCUCCUUUCCCAGCUUACUCCCCCCAAACCCUACUCACAGUAACCGAACCUAAGUACUACGAAGAAGACAAAGUGCAAACGACAAAAACACAAACCUAAACCCAGUCCAAACUAGAAUCAUCAAUGUGAAAGAAACACCAAUCACGCAGAGAUACAUCAGGCUUGGAAAGUAGUAAACAUGCAUCUGAAUACGGAACAACAAAAAGGUAAGAAUUCUACCAGAUUGGGAUGUCUCGGAAGUGAACGAACAGCUAGGGUUUCAAAUUGGUGCUCUUGUGUUCAAAAGAGUAACUCUGUGAAGUCCCUUCGGUGUCCAGAAAUUGGAUUGACCUCUUUGGUGCUAUGUUCGAAAAUGUGCAAAUGGUGAGCUUCGUUUGAUGCAUCCUUGUUCAUGUUUGGUUUUGUAUGGUGAUUUGUGAUGCAGUUAUGCUGUCUUGGGUUUAUUAUGUAAAAUUCCAGUUCAUGUAUCAUGAUUGAUUUAAAUGAAUGGCUCCCUGCAAGCUGUUUUGGUCUAAGUGUUUAUUGAUGAUGGCAAGAUUAGUGGAUUUGCAACAGGUAUGAGGAUCAUGAUGUCCCAAGUCCCACUUGGCCAGUACUGCAGUAGCAGGAUUGAGAAUUUAUCAUCAAACAAGUUCAUUGCUCUGUCAAAUGCAUUCAUGAACUUGUAUCUCAAGUGAUUUGUAUCCACCAGAUUCAUCUAUCACCUCAACAACGGCAGCAGUGUGCCAAACACCACAUGAAAACCUGAUUGUUCUCCACCCUUACAAAGUUUCUACUUCCCGAGGAAUAUUUGAACUGCUAUGAUCUCCAUGGCCUAAGGCGGCAAAAGUUCCAUCACCAAAUAUAAACAACCGCCCAACUGAUGUAACAAUAGCUGUGUGCCAGGGACCACAGGACACAUAUGAUACACGUAAUCCUUCCAAUGCACCACCUACUUCCUUAGGAAUCCAGUGACAUAACAAGUAAUCGGCCCUCUUGUGCGAGUUCUUGGUCCUGGCAUACAAGUAUUGCAGCAGAGAGCUUUAAAGGCCCUUGUCAGUAUUGCAAUUGUAUGGCCAAAUGAAAUUGCAAAAGAGGGUGAAGUUAUCGAAAUUUCUAAAGUGAUAUUGCAAGCUGACCCUUCCAUUCCUCAUACUUUAUGGGAGUCUGCUGCCUCUGUUUUGGCAAGUAUUCUGCAAUUCAGUUCUGAAUUCUACUUGGAAAUUCCCGUUGCUAUUUUGGUAAGAUUGCCUCAAUCUGGAUCAGAGACCACAGUUAGUAGUGGAUUACGUGCUCUUCUUGUAUUGGAAAGU